UUUUGAAAGAAAAAAGGGGGUUUUUUGCAACCGUUAAAAGAACCCCCAGUGGGUAGUGAAAUAGAACGUGAAAUCGUGCUGAGCUCCCAAGCAGUGGGAGGGGAAAGUGAUCUCUGACCGCGUACCUGUUGAAGAAUGAGCCGGCGACUCAUAGGUAGUGGCUUGGUUAAGGGAACGGAACCCACCGGAGCCGUAGCGAAAGCGAGUCUUAAUAGGGCGAUUGUCACUGCUUAUGGACCCGAACCUGGGUGAUCUAUCCAUGACCAGGAUGAAGCUUGGAUGAANGGCUUGGUUAAGGGAACGGAACCCACCGGAGCCGUAGCGAAAGCGAGUCUUAAUAGGGCGAUUGUCACUGCUUAUGGACCCGAACCUGGGUGAUCUAUCCAUGACCAGGAUGAAGCUUGGAUGAAACUAAGCAGAGGUCUGAACCGACUGAUGUUGAAGAAUCAGCGGAUGAGUUGUGGUUAGGGGUGAAAUGCCACUCAAACCCAGAGCUAGUUGGUUCUCCCCGAAAUGCGUUGAGGUGCAGCAGUUGACAUGAGGUCACAAGGGAUAUACAAGGAGAUAUCCCAUGGCGUAUGCUCUUUGCAGAUGAUGUGGUGCUAGUUGACGAUAGUCGGAUAGGGGUAAAUAGAAAGUUAGAGUUAUGGAGACAAACCUUGGAAUCGAAAGGGUUUAGGCUUAGUAGAACUAAAACCGAGUACAUGAUGUGCGGUUUCAGUACUACUAGGUGUGAGGAGGAGGAGGUUAGCCUUGAUGGCCAGGUGGUUCCCCAGAAGGACACCUUUUGGUAUUUGGGGUCAAUGCUGCAGGGGGAUGGGGGUAUUGAUGAAGAUGUGAAUCGAAUCAAAACU
rnacentral:ncRNA from 1 species